GACGAACGCUGGCGGCGCGCCUAACACAUGCAAGUCGAACGGGACUAUGCGAGAUGAAGUUUUCGGAUGGAAUUUUGUAUAGUUUAGUGGCGGACGGGUGAGUAACACGUGAGCAACCUGCCUUCGAGAGGGGAAUAACGGCUGGAAACGGUCGCUAAUACCGCAUAACAUACAGGAGGGACAUCCCUUUUGUAUCAAAGAUUUAUCGCUCGAAGAUGGGCUCGCGUCCGAUUAGGUAGUUGGUGAGGUAACGGCCCACCAAGCCGACGAUCGGUAGCCGGACUGAGAGGUUGAACGGCCACAUUGGGACUGAGACACGGCCCAG
rnacentral:rRNA from 1 species